rnacentral:rRNA from 1 species
UACGGAGACGCUGGCGGCGUGACUUACACAUGCAAGUCGAACGGUGACGAGGAGCUUGCUCCUCUGAUCAGUGGCGAACGGGUGAGUAACACGUGAGCAACCUGCCCCAGACUCUGGGAUAACAGUUGGAAACAGCUGCUAAUACCGGAUACGAGACGGAGAGGCAUCUCUACCGUCUGGAAAGUUUUCGGUCUGGGAUGGACUCGCGGCCUAUCAGCUAGUUGGUGAGGUAAUGGCUCACCAAGGUGACGACGGGUAGCCGGCCUGAGAGGGCGACCGGCCACACUGGGACUGAGACACGGCCCAGACUCCUACGGGAGGCAGCAGUGGGGAAUAUUGCACAAUGGGCGAAAGCCUGAUGCAGCGACGCCGCGUGAGGGAUGACGGCCUUCGGGUUGUAAACCUCUUUCAGCAGGGAAGAAGCGAAAGUGACGGUACCUGCAGAAGAAGCACCGGCUAACUACGUG